UCCCUGAUGGUCGGAUGGUAAAGACUCCCUGCUCCCAACGCAGGGGGCACGGGUUUGAUUCCUGGUUGGGGAA
rnacentral:tRNA from 1 species